UUCCCCUUCUAGGUGCAUUAUGCUUCUCGUCAAAAGCAAGAUGGAUCGUGGAAAAUGAUGCUUUUUCCAAUGGUUUGUCUCUUCUUUAUAGAGUUGUCUGAUCAGAGAGAAAUCUCAAAAUAUCCACCAAGGAAGAGCCAUGGAACUGAACUCAAAGGAGCAGCCCAGCUCCCCUCAGAAGGAGGGAGUGAAAGCUCGGUCCAAAUCCACAGAGGAGAUGCAGCCUGCCAAGAAGGCCUUCCAUACUCCACAGAAGUCAUUACCCAAUGAGAUGGAUGGAGAUGAGUCCAAGAACUCCUCUUCUGCCCGUCCAUCUGAUGCCUCUCAGCAGAAGCAGACCUGAGGAGCAGGAACUGCUUGGGUACCUGUAACAAAAUAUGGAGUCGUGCCGCUGUUCGGCUUUGCAUUAUUGCUCAAAUGUCAUGUCCGUGUGGAUGUCAUUGUGGGUCUGUCUAUCCAGCUGUCAAUGUUUAAUUGUUCUAUCAGUGGAAUGAGAUCUAGUACCCCGUCUAUCUUAAUGGAUUCUUGAACCUAAGAAGCAAAAUUAGUCUAUUGCCGUGAUUGCCUCAUUUAAACUGCUAACCAAGUGGCAUUGGCAGAAUAUCUCACGUUGUUUCUGGUUUACCCUCCAGUGUUGAUUCCUGUUGCCAUCUUUAUCAAUCCUGUCCUUCUUUCAAGAUACGUAUUUCAUACGUUAAAGAGAUAUUACCAGCCCAACCACCAGGUGUCAUCGGCAGAUCAGAUUUAAUGGAUGGCCCUAAAACGACCCCCAUAUUGUCUCUUUUUUAUUUCGACCACAAAGGUGAUAAAAUGGCCUUUAAAGAAGUCCACAACAGAUCUCAAGGACCAGCCUUCUUCUGCCAGUACAGUACUGUUUCCCAGAUCCACCAAAUGCCAUUGAUUAGACACUUCAUGGUAUGAGGUAGAGGUGGGUUGCUGCCCGUUUUAGCCUGGAUCGGCCGAACCGGUAGUAACGGCGGGGGG